UAUUCUGUCCAUCUACUUUUCUUCACAAAUUGAACUGAACUGACAGUCAUAUCCAAUGGUGCGAUGCAUGCAUGCGAAUACGGGAAUCAAAGAGUUUAGACGAAAGACGCCGAAAGUCUAGAGGACUUAACCUCCAAAAGCUGUAUGGACAAAAUAAGGUGUGAAAUUCACACUGUGAAUACAGAAAAUCAUUAAUAAUAUAUUUUGUAGACCGAUUUUUCCAUGUUGACCUUAUACUUUAUAUACACGUGGAAUGAAAAAAAACAGUAAAAAUAAAACCGCACCGUAAAAUGUGUUUGCGA